AAAAGAACUUUGGAGAGAGAGUCAAAUAGUACGUGAAACCGUCGGGAGGGAAACGAACGAGGUCGGUGCGGCGAUCGCGCAGGCUCAGUCCGGACCGAGGGGAGCGAAGGGCGAGCGCAGAGCGCUCCCCGGCGCGUAACCGAGGUGCGGACGUACUUCUCGUGAUCGCGGACCAGCGGCGGUUGGACCCGGGCCAGAAGGGGUCCCGGAAGGUGCGCAAGCCGGAUCACGUCCGGCGGGCGACUUACAUACUGGGCACCGCGGUGCCCGGGUCAGACCGAGGAAGGUGGGCAGCCGUUGCCCCCAGGGUGCACGCCGCACGGCGGGGACGGCCUUCGGAGGUGAGUGGGCCCUCCGGGACUGCGUGCAGUGUCGGAGGAGCCGGCGAGCCUGCCGGGGGAGCGUACCACCGGUGCACCAGUGCCGCUGGCAUUCGGACGGCCUCGUCCGACCCGUCUUG
rnacentral:sRNA from 3 species